rnacentral:rRNA from 1 species
GACGCUGGCGGCGUGCCUAAUACAUGCAAGUCGAACGCUUCUUUUUCCACCGGAGCUUGCUCCACCGGAAAAAGAAGAGUGGCGAACGGGUGAGUAACACGUGGGUAACCUGCCCAUCAGAAGGGGAUAACACUUGAAAACAGGUGCUAAUACCGUAUAACAAUCAAAACCGCAUGGUUUUGAUUUGAAAGGCGCUUUCGGGUGUCGCUGAUGGAUGGACCCGCGGUGCAUUAGCUAGUUGGUGAGGUAACGGCUCACCAAGGCCACGAUGCAUAGCCGACCUGAGAGGGUGAUCGGCCACAUUGGGACUGAGACACGGCCCAAACUCCUACGGGAGGCAGCAGUAGGGAAUCUUCGGCAAUGGACGAAAGUCUGACCGAGCAACGCCGCGUGAGUGAAGAAGGUUUUCGGAUCGUAAAACUCUGUUGUUAGAGAAGAACAAGGAUGAGAGUAACUGUUCAUCCCUUGACGGUAUCUAACCAGAAAGCCACGGCUAACUACGUGCCAGCAGCCGCGGUAAUACGUAGGUGGCAAGCGUUGUCCGGAUUUAUUGGGGCGUAAAAGCGAGCGCAGGCGGUUUCUUAAAGUCUGAUGUGAA